rnacentral:rRNA from 1 species
UACGUAGGGGGCUAGCGUUGUCCGGAAUCAUUGGGCGUAAAGAGCGUGUAGGCGGUCCGGUAAGUCCGCUGUGAAAGUCGGGGGCUCAACCCUCGAAUGCCGGUGGAUACUGUCGGGCUAGAGUGCGGAAGAGGCGAGUGGAAUUCCUGGUGUAGCGGUGAAAUGCGCAGAUAUCGGGAGGAACACCAAUUGCGAAGGCAGCUCGCUGGGACGUUACUGACGCUGAGACACGAAAGCGUGGGGAGCAAACAGG